UACAGAGGUCUCAAGCGUUGUUCGGAUUCAUUGGGCGUAAAGGGUGCGUAGGUGGCGCCAUAAGUCAGGUGUGAAAUCUCGGGGCUUAACUCCGAAACUGCAUUUGAUACUGUGGUGCUUGAGGACUGGAGAGGAGACUGGAAUUCACGGUGUAGCAGUGAAAUGCGCAGAUAUCAGGAAGAACACCCGUGGCGAAGGCGGCUCUCUGGGACGGUACUGACGCUGAGACGCGAAAGCGUGGGGAGCGAACAGG
rnacentral:rRNA from 1 species